AUACAGAGGGUGCGAGCGUUAAUCGGAAUUACUGGGCGUAAAGCGCGCGUAGGCGGUCUAUUAAGUCAGAUGUGAAAUCCCAGGGCUCAACCUUGGAACUGCAUCUGAUACUGGUAGACUAGAGUUUUGGAGAGGGAAGUAGAAUUUCAGGUGUAGCGGUGAAAUGCAUAGAGAUCUGAAGGAAUACCAGUGGCGAAGGCGCCUUCCUGGCCAAAAACUGACGCUGAGGUGCGAAAGCGUGGGUAGCAAACGGGAUUAGAAACCCUAGUAGUCC
rnacentral:rRNA from 1 species